UACGUAGGUGGCAAGCGUUGUCCGGAUUUAUUGGGCGUAAAGGGUGCGUAGGCGGAUGUUUAAGUGAGAUGUGAAAUACCUAAGCUUAACUUAGGGGCUGCAUUUCAAACUGGGCAUCUAGAGUACAGGAGAGGGAAACGGAAUUCCUAGUGUAGCGGUGAAAUGCGUAGAGAUUAGGAAGAACACCAGUGGCGAAGGCGGUUUCCUGGACUGUAACUGACGCUGAGGCACGAAAGCGUGGGUAGCAAACAGG
rnacentral:rRNA from 1 species